GACGAACGCUGGCGGCGUGCUUAACACAUGCAAGUCGAACGGAAAGGCCCUGCUUUUGUGGGGUGCUCGAGUGGCGAACGGGUGAGUAACACGUGAGUAACCUGCCCUUGACUUUGGGAUAACUUCAGGAAACUGGGGCUAAUACCGGAUAGGAGCUCCUGCUGCAUGGUGGGGGUUGGAAAGUUUCGGCGGUUGGGGAUGGACUCGCGGCUUAUCAGCUUGUUGGUGGGGUAGUGGCUUACCAAGGCUUUGACGGGUAGCCGGCCUGAGAGGGUGACCGGCCACAUUGGGACUGAGAUACGGCCCAGACUCCUACGGGAGGCAGCAGUGGGGAAUAUUGCACGAUGGGCGGAAGCCUGAUGCAGCAACGCCGCGUGCGGGAUGACGGCCUUCGGGUUGUAAACCGCUUUCGCCUGUGACGAAGCGUGAGUGACGGUAAUGGGUAAAGAAGCACCGGCUAACUACGUGCCAGCAGCCGCGGUGAUACGUAGGGUGCGAGCGUUGUCCGGAUUUAUUGGGCGUAAAGGGCUCGUAGGUGGUUGAUCGCGUCGGAAGUGUAAUCUUGGGGCUUAACCCUGAGCGUGCUUUCGAUACGGGUUGACUUGAGGAAGGUAGGGGAGAAUGGAAUUCCUGGUGGAGCGGUGGAAUGCGCAGAUAUCAGGAGGAACACCAGUGGCGAAGGCGGUUCUCUGGGCCUUUCCUGACGCUGAGGAGCGAAAGCGUGGGGAGCGAACAGGCUUAGAUACCCUGGUAGUCCACGCUGUAAACGGUGGGUACUAGGUGUGGGGUCCAUUCCACGGGUUCCGUGCCGUAGCUAACGCUUUAAGUACCCCGCCUGGGGAGUACGGCCGCAAGGCUAAAACUCAAAGGAAUUGACGGGGCCCCGCACAAGCGGCGGAGCAUGCGGAUUAAUUCGAUGCAACGCGUAGAACCUUACCUGGGUUUGACAUGGAUCGGGAGCGCUCAGAGAUGGGUGUGCCUCUUUUGGGGUCGGUUCACAGGUGGUGCAUGGCUGUCGUCAGCUCGCGUCGUGAGAUGUUGGGUUAAGUCCCGCAACGAGCGCAACCCUUGUUCACUGUUGCCAGCACGUUAUGGUGGGGACUCAGUGGAGACCGCCGGGGUCAACUCGGAGGAAGGUGGGGAUGACGUCAAGUCAUCAUGCCCCUUAUGUCCAGGGCUUCACGCAUGCUACAAUGGCUGGUACAGAGAGUGGCGAGCCUGUGAGGGUGAGCGAAUCUCGGAAAGCCGGUCUCAGUUCGGAUUGGGGUCUGCAACUCGACCUCAUGAAGUCGGAGUCGCUAGUAAUCGCAGAUCAGCAACGCUGCGGUGAAUACGUUCCCGGG
rnacentral:rRNA from 1 species